UACGAAGGGGGCUAGCGUUGCUCGGAAUCACUGGGCGUAAAGCGCACGUAGGCGGAUUGCUAAGUCAGGGGUGAAAUCCUGGAGCUCAACUCCAGAACUGCCUUUGAUACUGGCAACCUUGAGUCCGGGAGAGGUGAGUGGAACUGCGAGUGUAGAGGUGAAAUUCGUAGAUAUUCGCAAGAACACCAGUGGCGAAGGCGGCUCACUGGCCCGGUACCGACGCUGAGGUGCGAAAGCUAGGGGAGCAAACGGG
rnacentral:rRNA from 1 species